UAUAUACUCCCUCCGUCCGGAAAUAUUUGUCAUCAAAAUGGAUAAAAGGAGAUGUAUCUAGAUGUAUUUUAGUUCUAGAUACAUUCUUUUUUGUCUAUUUUGAUGACAAGUAUUUUCGGACGAAGGGAGUACGUG
rnacentral:pre_miRNA from 1 species